rnacentral:piRNA from 1 species
AGGUCUGGUGCCCUCUUCUGGCC